UACGUAGGGUGCGAGCGUUAAUCGGAAUUACUGGGCGUAAAGUGUGCGCAGGCGGCCGCGCAAGUCGAGUGUGAAAGCCCCGGGCUUAACUUGGGAAUUGCGCUCGAAACUACGUGGCUGGAGUGUGGCAGAAGAAGGUGGAAUUCCACGUGUAGCGGUGAAAUGCGUAGAGAUGUGGAGGGACACCAAUGGCGAAGGCAGCCUUCUGGGCCAACACUGACGCUCAUGCACGAAAGCGUGGGGAGCAAACAGG
rnacentral:rRNA from 1 species